rnacentral:tRNA from 1 species
GGGGUUAGCGGGGAAUCGAACCCCGGGCCUCUCGCACCCAAAGCGAGAAUCAUACCACUAGACCACUAACCC